rnacentral:lncRNA from 1 species
CAUGUCUUGGUUUGAUCGAUUGUUAAGUAAAUACCUGGUGUUAAGAGUUCUGUUCCUCAUGAAAUUAUGAUCAAACAAAUGACCCCUAAUAGAACUUUGACAGCUUAGUAAUAAUAGAUUAUCCUCAACUAGCAAAAUAAAGUGAGACUUUAUCAACUAAUAUGUGCCAGGUGCCGAGACUGAGAGAAGAUUGCAGUCCCAAUUUCAUAUGCAAAUGCAGAAGUGUUGCCCGAACAAUUUCUGGGAGCCAUUAUAAAGGAAGUAAACACAGUUCCUGUGGAGUCCGAAGGAAUAAAGCCCUCUCUGGUAGUCACCACCUGAUCUGAGACCCCAACAGUGAAGAGGUGCUGAAUCCUUUGAGGAAAGCAGCUCAUUCGUUGAAAUAAAUGAGAUAAAUGCUGGUUAAAAUCCUUCAGUCUUUCUGGCAUAAAAGCUAGU